rnacentral:lncRNA from 1 species
ACAUACAAGCUGGAGAGCCCAAAAUUUCCCCCCAAAAAUAAUUCUCUCGAGAUUUCCAGAUCUAAGAUUUCAAAACACUUCUCUAAGGUUACACAGAUAUGAAGUUACUCGAUCAGCUCUCAAUUUUUAUUUUGAAAUUAUUAAUUUCCUAAAUCUUCCAAAACAAACAAAAACAACAAUAUAGAGAAAAACUACAAAAAACAGUAUGAUUCUAUUGAAUCUCGUUGCAAUAGUUGAUUCAUAUUUCUAGUUCGAAAUUUGAUAGCUAAAGUUUCAGUUGGAGUUUGGGUUUAUUGGAUUGAUCUGGUGCAUUUUCAAGUAUAUUCGGUGUGAAUCAAGCUAGUUUCGUUGUCUUUCCUGUUUCGUUUGGUGUUUGGUUGUCUACUGGGCGUCCUUAACACUAUUUAUGGGCUGGUUAUUGUCGAAUUCUGUUGUUGCUGAGAGUUGUUGCAUGCUGCUGACCUUUUCCUAUUCUUCAUGUUCUGCUAAAUCCAGGUAUAUGCCUAAAACUGGCCCAAUGUAGCUGUUUAAAUUGAAAGCUGAAAUAAAAUGGUCUUCUUUGGAAUUUAUGUGCUUGAGCUGUUGGUGGAGUAGUAGUAGAUAAUUUGUGUUUGUUUAAACUCAUUUUGGUUUGUAUUUGUGUUGUAUAAUUGAACUGAUAGAACUGUUAUGAUAUUGGUUCGAUUUCAUUUUUGUAUAAUUGAAUUUGAAUUAAAAGCAAACUGAAAUUGGGAAAUGGUUUAGAAGUUCAUGCAUUUCAAUUGUAUCAAUAACAUAGAGCUGAAACCAGUAGGCCAGUGCUGAGUAUUAAAUUGGUUCAUGUUGGGAAACAUAAGUAAUAUGGAAUUGAUCUUCAAUAAAUUGCUUGGAUAUGUAAUAUUUGCCCAAGUCAGUUUUAGAGCUCGUUUGUAGGUUUUGGGAAUCGAAACCCAAACCCCUUUGAAUGGAAACGUUGUUUGUUAUCAAGCCAGUGGGCUUCGCUGAUUUAAUCACACAGGCCCAGGUCCGAAGCUGUUCUCUUUAAUUCACGGGCCUGGGCCAAGGCUGUUUUGACAAUCUCCCGUGGGUGUUAAUGGUUAAUUCAUGUGUUUCAAGAUUGCUUUUGGGUUCCAUGCUAUAAUUAUUGCUUAUUUGUGCUAAACAAUUGACGCCCGGGUUUUGAGUUAGGUAGCGGGUCCAAGCUAAAAGGUUCUUCCUUUUGUUUGGGUCCAGACUUGAACUCAAGUCCAAUCGUUAAUUGUAAUCAAUUAAGAUUUUCUUUUCUUUUAGACACAAAAACAAAUAGAAAAUAUAGUUGCUUGUAGGCUUAUUCUUUAAAGUAAUAUGAGACGAGCUUCGCUCAAUAAAGAUGGGGGGCCCUCAAUAAAGGUUUAAAAAAUAUUUAAAAAAUUGGGAAUGACCGUUAGCGAAUUUCACAGCCCUCCCAAAAGAUUAUACCGCAUUAGACCCUAUUAGGCGCGACUUUAAUAAAUUACAUUCCUAAAUACGGGUGGCAUUUUAUGCGGCCCAAAUCCAAAUCCUAAAACGUUGAAUAGACUGUGCCUAGGACUGCGGUUCAUUUUAUGCGGCACAAUCUGAAAACACACUUUAAACGAUGUUCACUUUCUCUUAAAUAAAUACGUAUUAAAUAAAGCGGUUAAAGAUAUAAUUGGCACAUAGGCUCUUCACGUAUUUAAAUCCGAUUCUAGCCAAUCACGGCAAUUUAAGCGAUCGUGCUAGAACCACGGGAUCCGAGGGUGCCUAAUACCUUCCCUUGGAUCAACAUAAUUCCUUAUUCAUAAUUUCUGGUUCGCAGAGUCCACUCGGAAGUCGAAGUUUUCCUCGGUUCGGGAUUCAAGAAAAAUUGGUAACUUGGGACAUCAAAAGCCAAACUUAUCCCAAGUGGCGACUCUGAAUAAAUAAUCCCGAUCCGAAUAACGUCACUUUAAUUGAAAAAAAUUUCCUUAUACAUUAUCCAUCGGGGUAGGUGUGUAAAAAUGAGGUGUGACAAAGGUUUUGGCAAAAAAGAUGACAUUGCUCCACUAGCUUGCUUCUAUAAUUUAAAGGAAUUUUUAUUGUCAAACAAUUCACAAUGAAAUGUCCACGAAGGUGGCGCGUUUUCACUAUCGACUUCCGGUUAACGACGGAUUCGUCGAAAAUUGGGAUUUGUUCUUUAACAAAGACGUGGAGUUUGGCACUGAACAACUUGAUUUUCUGUUAAUAUAUUUUAAUGUAUUUUAUUGUAUUCAUUUUAUUUUUUUAUCCAUUAUAAUUCAAUGUAUCCCGUUGUAUUACAUAUAUUUCAUUGUAUUCACUAUCUUUGUAUUUAUUGUAUUUCAAUGUAUCCCGCUGUAUUCAAUGUAUUUUAUUGUAUUUACUGUCUCGCUAUAUGCCAUGCAUGUAUUCAUAUUUUUUUAAUUAAUAUAAUUUAUGUAUUUAGAUGUAUUAUAUAAUUUCUUUGAUGAUUGCUAUAUUUUUGGGGUAUUUUUCGGUUGAGAAUAUUCUUAUAACCGAAAAUACAAAAUUUUUGUGUUAUAAUUGAGUUUGUUGAGAUAUAUUAGGAGCCUAUUAUGUUAAUUGAUUCACUUUCCAUUUUAAAAAUAGUGCAAUCCCCUAUUCCACGCCGUGAAUACAAUCGAGUACAGUCGAAUACAAUAAUCUGCCCAGCUAUAAUUCCAUUUUUCACUCCAUGAAUACAGUCGAGUACACUCAAAUACAUCAACUGAUUAGUUAGACUUCCCUGAUUUACGUCUAUUUUGGCUACUGUAUUAAUGAAUAAAAUAGCUUAAAUACAUGAAAUACAUCUUAUAACUACAAAAAGGGUAUCUAUAAUCCGUAAUAUAGCAAAUGAUAUCUAUACAUGGCUAAUUACUACUAAAAGAUAGUGCUCUAUGAAAAUUUCUCAAAAAAAAAUUAAGUGAGAAUUUAUCCCUAAUUUCGGGGGUAAAUAACUCAAUAUUCAACCAAGAAAACCGUUCAACCUUUGUGGAGCAUGAGUGCCGAUAGAUAUUAGACUAAUUUAUCAUAAAAUACAAAAUUUAGCGAAAAAAUCAUAGGUUCACAUUGUUAGAUAAUACGCUUAAUGCUAGAGGGGGGGGGGGGGAAUAGCGUUAUAAUAAAAAUUAACGUAAACUUGCGGAAUUUAAAAUUUGCAGGAAAUAAAUAAGUGUGAUAAAUAAGAAGGAACACACCGAAGUAUUCUGGUUCACCACAACCCGUGGCUAGUCCAGUCCCCGAGAGACUCUCUCGAGAUUUCCACUAACUUGUCAA